AGAGGCAGGAAGCGGAAGUGGCGUCACUGGCCCGCGGCGGUCUUUGUCCCGUUGCCUAGAGCCUUUCCGAGCCUCUCCUCUUGGUCGUCUUGCGGUGCUUGGUGUCGUCGGUGAGGCCGCGUGCCAGGAAGGUUCGGAUGCAAGGAGGGCGUUAAAGGACAGGUGUGGCCCGGCCUCCGAGGGGCCUCCUUAAAGAGGCCGGGUCCCCUCCGCUCGCCCCCUUCGCGGCCGCUGGCGCCCGCGUUGGGCCGGCCGAGAGGAGCGGUGAGGGCGCACCUGCGAAGUGUUUUCGGCCACGGUGCCUCCUUGUUCAAAUUCCUCCUAAGUAACCGUUGUGACUCUUCUCCAGGAGGAUGAGAAUUUCCGCUGGGCAAGUCAGGUUGGCCCGGCCCUGCGGUGGUCACCGCCCUGUCGCUCCUGGCUGUCCCGAGCCAACGUAUGACGAUUGAUGACUGAUAACAUUUACUGAUUAAUGGUAAAUACAAAACACGACUCCAGAUUACCCGGUGUCCAUGGGGAUGGCUGUCUGUACUUGUAUUCAUAAGAUACCCUAAAAUGGUCUUGGUGUCAGAGAAAGGAAUGUCGGGUAAAUUAUUCUGUCACCCUUACAGGAUGGCAGCCAUUGAUUUGUCCUCUGGUAAGUCCUGUUGAUACCCCUUGUUUUUAAUAGACUCAGCUUUAGAUCACCCUUGCACAAUGGUCUGGGCCUGAGCAGUUAUGCUGCUGGCCCUUUAAGGAGGAGUCAAAAUGGGCCAACGACUGUGUUUUCUAAGUUGUCUUACUGAUAUGUGCACAUUGGGAAGAGGUACUACAUAACUUUUUUAUUAAUUAUAUUGCUUUGGGCAGAAAAUGAGUCCCAUUUCUCGGGGCUUAAAUUUCCUUCCCUGUCAAAUUGACUUACUCUUUUCCUCAUGGGCAGCAUGGAUCACUAUCCCCUUUUCAGUUCUAGGUGAGACAAGACCACGCUGGCAUCCUAUAGCAGCAGUCUGUGUCUGCGGGAGAUUUCUUGAGAGUUUUGGGAAUUUCACACUAGAAUAGAAAGACUUCUAGGCAGGUGAAUGCGAGAAUUAUGGUCCUCUCUGGGUAUACGUGGCUCCUUUGUUUUCUUCUAUGUUUUCUUUCUGCCUUCCUGAGGAAAAGAUAAAAGUAGGAAGGAUGGUGGCUGACUGGCUGAGAGAUUGUUCUUGGCUAGGCAAAAAGUAUGUCCUUGUACAAAAGGACAUAUCUGUAUUCACCAGAUGGACACAUUUCCUUCCAGGUGGACCGAUCUCCAGAGCUUCUUAAAGUCACUCAAAGACUGAGUGUCUAUUGAAUUUCCCCACAGAAUAGAACCUUUCGUAUUGGUGGUACGGGAAUACUCUGAAAAUAAUUUGAGCGUUUCAGUAAGUACUAACUAAACUUGACUCUCAUGAUGGUGACCUUUUUUAUUUAUUGUGUGCUCUCACAGAUGAUAUGGAAGAUGGAGGUAUGCUUUUCUCAAAGAAUUGAUCCAUUCACGACCAUUUAUCAGGUGUCUACAGUGUGUUCGGGCAUGUGCUGCAUUAGAGGGAAAUAAGAAAAGAGCUCCGAGUCCAGGUGUGGUGAGACAAGGUCAUGUUUAAGAGUUUCCAUUGAAGCCAUGUGACUGGAGUGAGUAUAGGUAUUUAAAAUAUUUAGAACCAUUGACCCUUGGAGUGUGAGAGAAUUUGAAACUCUGUAUUACUGUUUCUCUCAUCCUUGUUCCAUUGAACAUUGAUGAUGUUCCUUGAGUCAAGCCAUUACAUGUGUGAUUAUUUAGGAUUCAGUGACCUUUGGUGAUGUGCCUGUGGACUUCACCUUGGAGGAAUGGACUUUUCUGGAUCCCUCUUAGAGAACCUUACGCAGAGAUGCAGUACUGGAGAACUCCAAGAACCUGAGUACGGUGGGUUAUCAACUCUUUAAACACACUUUUAUCUCAUGGUUGGAACAAGAAGAGUUGAGGACAAUGGAGAGAGGUAUUCCUCAGGGUGAGUGUGAAGAACAUCCCUCAUCAAUGAGAAGUUCAGUAUGUUUGGAAAUGUAACAAGAGGCUUCUUACAAGUGGAAUAGAUUCUUAACGAACCUACGCAAAUGAGUAUAUUGCCCUGAAAAUAAAAGUGCUCACUGAGAGUUUCCAAAUUCUGGACAAAUCACUUAUGGAGAAAAAAGGAAACAGAACAAAUCUUUUGGGGUGUUCCAGGAGCCCUCUGGAAAAAUCCCAGGCUGGAGGCCCAAACCCUGGAGGUAGUUUAUUGUUUCAACCAAAGAGCAAAUGCUGAGACCCAUAUCCAAGUAGUUAUCUGCUGGGAAAGGAUACCCCAGGCCCACAUCACCUGUGCACAGAAUCUCAUUGCUGGCAGGGAUACUGGCCUAAGAUGACAUCACUCCCUCCGAAGAUCUCCCGAAUAGAAAUGACUUCGCCCAGUUCAUGAGCUUCUGCACCAGCAAUAUCCGUGGCUGACCCUCCUAAUGCAGAAAGUAGACAAAGGACAAUAUUGCUGAUCUUCUUUUGAUAUUCUGUUUUGUUCCUGAGCUGCUUGCAGUCUGCUUAGCCCAUUAUCCAGGCAUACCUGCGUUCUGCCAAAACAUACCCCACGCUGCCAUGCUUGUAGGGGAAUCUGACAGAAAACUAUUUGUGUCUUUCCAAAAAUAACUUUUUUCCAGGAGAUACUAUUCCUAUUAGUCUGCCUCUUAACCCUGUGGGAAGAAGACCACUCUCCAGCACCUUCUACGGCAGCCCUCCAUCUUUCCACCAUGACCUCCUGCCCUGCAUCACCAACCACAAAAUACUAAUCUUUACGUCUAUUUUAUUAUCAUUAGCUCAUGGCCUCCAACAGUGUAACUGCCAAGCUUGCCGCCUUGAAUAUUGUCAAAUGCACACUUUAUAAGUCCACAAAGAUAUUGUUAGAGUCCACACAAUAAUUUCAUAUCUUUACAUAGUACCUACCAGAUUUAAUAGAGACCUUGGUUAUGGGCUAGCCUACGAGGACUUCUUAUACUCCCGUAAUGUUUUCUAUGUAUUCCAUGGCAACUUAAGCCAUACUCUCUGAUAAUCACCACUACCAUCACCCCAAAGUUUCCUUACUAUCGAACCAUCAGAAGAUCAGUUGCCUUAAUCAUGUUCUCUUUUGCUCUGUGUUUAUGAUGCUUUGACACUUAAGGGAUCAAUCUGUCCAGGAAGAUACUGCUCCUUCAGGUCUGGCUAAUCCCUAAAGAUAGUAAACAACUUGAUCAAGAACAUUUCUUUCUUGUGGAAACCAAAUCAUCCAGUAUCCAAUAUCCCCAACCUCCUUUAACUCUUACAUGCAAAGCCAGUAUUUCUCCUACCUAAGUCAACCCAGGGCCAGAUACCAGAAAACUAGAUACAUUGCCUAUGACCCAAAAUCUGGUGGCAUUAGUCAAACUAGCCAAUUCUGUUCAGCCCUACCUUGCUCUUUCAGUGGAAACCCAAUGAAGACUGUGGCCUGUGUUUUCUCCUUUCUUCAGACCAAUUCUGAACCCUCAUGGGGAGUCAUGCUGUUUACCCUUUGGGCUGUGGUAAACUUUUCCUUCAGUGUUUUUAAUCUCCCUGUGUCUUUAUUCAGUCACUUUCAGAAAUUAAGAUCAAGGCACCAAUCUACCAUUUCUUUGCUUUUUUCAUAAGUUUUACUACCUAUGUAUAGAUCCCAAAGCAAAGUAUUUCCCUCCUUAGUUGAUUUUUGAACUAUAUAUAAAAGCUUUUGUUACUGAGUCAUUCCUUUGUUAUUUUAUUCACUCACUCUGUAUUAGUGUUCAAACUUAUUAGGUAAUUACAAUGUUUUUCCAAAGUGU